UGGCUCAGAAUCAACGCUGGCGGCGUGCCUCAGACAUGCAAGUCGAACGGUUAAGACUCCCUUCGGGGAGUGUAUAAAGUGGCGCACGGGUGAGUAACACGUGGGUAAUCUACCUUCGGGUGGGGGAUAACUCGCCGAAAGGCGGGCUAAUACCGCAUAAUGCAGCGGCACCGAAUGGUGACAGUUGUUAAAGGAGCAAUCCGCCUGAAGAGGAGCCCGCGGCCGAUUAGCUAGUUGGUAGGGUAAUGGCCUACCAAGGCGACGAUCGGUAGCCGGCCUGAGAGGGCGGCCGGCCACACUGGCACUGAAACACGGGCCAGACUCCUACGGGAGGCAGCAGUCGGGAAUUUUGGGCAAUGGGCGAAAGCCUGACCCAGCAACGCCGCGUGAGGGAUGAAGUCCUUCGGGGAUGUAAACCUCGUAAGCAUGGGGAAGAAUAAAUGACGGGUACCAUGCGUAAGCCCGGGCUAACUACGUGCCAGCAGCCGCCGUAACU
rnacentral:rRNA from 1 species